UUUACCUACGGGGGGCAGCAGUGAGGAAUAUUGGUCAAUGGACGGAAGUCUGAACCAGCCAUGCCGCGUGCAGGAAGACGGCUCUAUGAGUUGUAAACUGCUUUUAUACAAGGGUAAACCUGAAUACGUGUAUUCAGCUGAAAGUACUGUACGAAUAAGGAUCGGCUAACUCCGUGCCAGCAGCCGCGGUAAUACGGAGGGUGCGAGCGUUAAUCGGAAUUACUGGGCGUAAAGGGAGCGCAGGCGGCGCGUUAAGCCUGGUGUGAAAGCCCGCGGCCCAACCGCGGGAC
rnacentral:rRNA from 1 species